UUCCGGUGAUCCCUGCCGGACCCGACUGCUAUCAGAGUGGGACUAAGCCAUGCGAGUCGACGUAGCAAUGCGUGGCGAACGGCUCAGUAACACGUAGUCAACAUGCCCAGGGGACGUGGAUAACCUCGGGAAACUGAGAAUAAACCACGAUAGGUCACGAUUUCUGGAAUGGAUCAUGGCCUAAAUCUACAUGGCCCCUGGAUUGGACUGCGGCCGAUCAGGCUGUUGGUGAGGUAAUGGCCCACCAAACCUAUAACCGGUACGGGCUCUGAGAGGAGAAGCCCGGAGAUGGGCACUGAGACAAGGGCCCAGGCCCUAUGGGGCGCAGCAGGCGCGAAACCUCUGCAAUAGGCGAAAGCCUGACAGGGUUACUCUGAGUGAUUUCCGCUAAGGGGAUCUUUUGGCACCUCUAAAAAUGGUGCAGAAUAAGGGGUGGGCAAGUCUGGUGUCAGCCGCCGCGGUAAUACCAGCACCCCGAGUGGUCGGGACGAUUAUUGGGCCUAAAGCAUCCGUAGCCGGUUCUGCAAGUCUUCCGUUAAAUCCAGCCGCUCAACGGAUGGGCCGCGGAGGAUACUACAGGACUAGGAGGCGGGAGAGGCAAGCGGUACUCAGUGGGUAGGGGUAAAAUCCUUUGAUCCAUUGAAGACCACCAGUGGCGAAGGCGGCUUGCCAGAACGCGCUCGACGGUGAGGGAUGAAAGCUGGGGGAGCAAACCGGAUUAGAUACCCGGGUAGUCCCAGCUGUAAACGAUGCAGACUCGGUGAUGGGCUAGCCUUGUGCCAGCCCAGUGCCGCAGGGAAGCCGUUAAGUCUGCCGCCUGGGGAGUACGGUCGCAAGACUGAAACUUAAAGGAAUUGGCGGGGGAGCCA
rnacentral:rRNA from 1 species